rnacentral:rRNA from 1 species
UACGUAGGGGGCUAGCGUUGUCCGGAUUUAUUGGGCGUAAAGAGCGUGUAGGCGGCCAGGUAGGUCUGCUGUGAAAACUCGAGGCUCAACCUCGAGAUGUCGGCGGAAACCAUCUGGCUAGAGUCCGGAAGAGGAGAGUGGAAUUCCUGGUGUAGCGGUGAAAUGCGCAGAUAUCAGGAAGAACACCCGUGGCGAAGGCGGCUCUCUGGGACGGGACUGACGCUGAGACGCGAAAGCGUGGGGAGCGAACAGG